rnacentral:rRNA from 1 species
UACGAACCGUGCGAACGUUGUUCGGAAUCACUGGGCUUAAAGGGCGCGUAGGCGGACCACCCAGUCCGGGGUGAAAUCUUUCGGCUCAACCGGAAAAGGGCCUUGGAUACUGGUGGUCUGGAGGAAGGUAGGGGCAUGCGGAACUUCCGGUGGAGCGGUGAAAUGCGUUGAUAUCGGAAGGAACGCCGGUGGCGAAAGCGGCGUGCUGGACCUUUUCUGACGCUGAUGCGCGAAAGCCAGGGGAGCGAACGGG